rnacentral:snRNA from 1 species
GGAUGUGAGGGCCAUCUGGCUGUGACAUCUGUCACCCCAUUGAUCGCCAGGGUUGAUUUGGCUGAUAUGGCUGGCUCAGUGGGUGUCCCCUUCCCCCCCUCACUGCUCCAUGUGUGUCCCUCCUGAAGCUGCGCACUAAGUCGAAGAGGACGACCUUCCCCGAUAGAGGAGGACCAUUCUUCGGUCAAGGGUAUAUGAGUAGCUGCGCUUCCCUGCUAGAACCUCCAAACAAGCUCUCAAAAGAAUUAUUAGUAAAGAUUGUGGUGCCAGUGAAAAGGGAAGUUGGGCCUCUGUUU